rnacentral:rRNA from 1 species
UGGGGAGUAUUGCACAAUGGGGGGAACCCUGAUGCAGCGACGCCGCGUGCGGGAUGACGGCCUUCGGGUUGUAAACCGCUUUCAGUAGGGAAGAAGCGAAAGUGACGGUACCUGCAGAAGAAGUACCGGCUAACUACGUGCCAGCAGCCGCGGUAAUACGUAGGGUACAAGCGUUGUCCGGAAUUAUUGGGCGUAAAGAGCUCGUAGGUGGUUGGUCGCGUCUGCUGUGGAAACGCAACGCUUAACGUUGCGCGUGCAGUGGGUACGGGCUGACUAGAGUGCAGUAGGGGAGUCUGGAAUUCCUGGUGUAGCGGUGAAAUGCGCAGAUAUCAGGAGGAACACCGGUGGCGAAGGCGGGACUCUGGGCUGUAACUGACGCUGAGGAGCGAAAGCAUGGGGAGCGAACAGGAUUAGAUACCCUGGUAGUCCAUGCCGUAAACGUUGGGAACUAGGUGUGGGGUCCAUUCCACGGAUUCCGUGCCGGAGCUAACGCAUUAAGUUCCCCGCCUGGGGAGUACGGCCGCAAGGCUA